GCUUGGGACUUUUCUGCAGCAAUUUUUCUGCCUCUUUCUUUGAACAGUAACUGACAAUAAAUGAAUUUGUUUUCACUCUACCUGGACUGAAUAGAUUGGCACCAAAGACGAGGAAAUGGAUGAGACAGAUGAGUCCAUUUCUGCUCAGCUUCACAAGGCAAUUAAAACCCAGGCCAGGAGCUGGGAGAAGAGGCACACAUAAUUCUCCAAAUUCCAGGAGGUCUGCAAACAACCUUAAAGGAAAAGGUAAUGAAGUGGUUUUCCCUAAAGUGCACAGGUACAGGUACCAGUCAAGUGGGAAGUCAUCCUAGCUCCUCUGAGCUCCUACUGUGCCAGCAUGGAAGAGUGCACGGCACCAAAGAGUCGCCCUCUUACCUGCCUAUCACACACAGCUGGUUCUGGGUUCCAGCUCCUUUGGGCUAAAAGACAGGACUUUGUGAGAGACUGGAUGUGGGAGAGAGAGACAAUGAAGACAAAACUAAGGAUUCUGGUCUGAAGAGGUGGUGACUUCCUACAAUCACUCGCUCUUUGUUAAUUCAGGGGCCCCUCUUCAGUUUCUCCAAUGCCUGUGUAAACAAC